CAGUAGCCGCGGGAAUACAGAGGGUGCGAGCGUUAAUCGGAUUUACUGGGCGUAAAGCGCGCGUAGGUGGUUUGUUAAGUUGGAUGUGAAAUCCCCGGGCUCAACCUGGGAACUGCAUCCAAAACUGGCAAGCUAGAGUAUGGUAGAGGGUGGUGGAAUUUCCUGUGUAGCGGUGAAAUGCGUAGAUAUAGGAAGGAACACCAGUGGCGAAGGCGACCACCUGGACUGAUACUGACACUGAGGUGCGAAAGCGUGGGGAGCAAACAGGAUUAGAUACCCCAGUAGUCCCUGUCUCUUAACA
rnacentral:rRNA from 1 species